rnacentral:rRNA from 1 species
CAGUUCGGACUGGAGUCUGCAACCCGACUCCACGAAGCUGGAUUCGCUAGUAAUCGCGCAUCAGCCACGGCGCGGUGAAUACGUUCCCGGGCCUUGUACACACCGCCCGUCAAGCCAUGGGAGUCGGGAGUGCCUGAAGUUCGUGACCGUCACAGGAGCGACCUAAGGCAAGACCGAUGACUGGGGCUAAGUCGUAACAAGGUAAC